rnacentral:rRNA from 1 species
GGUUAAGCGACUAAGCGUACACGGUGGAUGCCCUGGCAGUCAGAGGCGAUGAAGGACGUGCUAAUCUGCGAAAAGCGUCGGUAAGGUGAUAUGAACCGUUAUAACCGGCGAUGUCCGAAUGGGGAAACCCAGUGUGUUCCGACACACUAUCAUUAACUGAAUCCAUAGGUUAAUGAGGCGAACCGGGGGAACUGAAACAUCUAAGUACCCCGAGGAAAAGAAAUCAACCGAGAUUCCCCCAGUAGCGGCGAGCGAACGGGGAGGAGCCCAGAGCCUGAAUCAGUGUGUGUGUUAGUGGAAGCGUCUGGAAAGGCGCGCGAUACAGGGUGACAGCCCCGUACACAAAAAUGCACAUGCUGUGAGCUCGAAGAGUAGGGCGGGACACGUGGUAUCCUGUCUGAAUAUGGGGGGACCAUCCUCCAAGGCUAAAUACUCCUGACUGACCGAUAGUGAACCAGUACCGUGAGGGAAAGGCGAAAAGAACCCCGGCGAGGGGAGUGAAAAAGAACCUGAAACCGUGUACGUACAAGCAGUGGGAGCCUCUUAAUGGGGUGACUGCGUACCUUUUGUAUAAUGGGUCAGCGACUUAUAUUCUGUAGCAAGGUUAACCGAAUAGGGGAGCCGGAGGGAAACCGAGUCUUAACUGGGCGUUAAGUUGCAGGGUAUAGACCCGAAACCCGGUGAUCUAGCCAUGGGCAGGUUGAAGGUUGGGUAACACUAACUGGAGGACCGAACCGACUAAUGUUGAAAAAUUAGCGGAUGACUUGUGGCUGGGGGUGAAAGGCCAAUCAAACCGGGAGAUAGCUGGUUCUCCCCGAAAGCUAUUUAGGUAGCGCCUCGUGAAUUCAUCUCCGGGGGUAGAGCACUGUUUCGGCAAGGGGGUCAUCCCGACUUACCAACCCGAUGCAAACUGCGAAUACCGGAGAAUGUUAUCACGGGAGACACACGGCGGGUGCUAACGUCCGUCGUGAAGAGGGAAACAACCCAGACCGCCAGCUAAGGUCCCAAAGUCAUGGUUAAGUGGGAAACGAUGUGGGAAGGCCCAGACAGCCAGGAUGUUGGCUUAGAAGCAGCCAUCAUUUAAAGAAAGCGUAAUAGCUCACUGGUCGAGUCGGCCUGCGCGGAAGAUGUAACGGGGCUAAACCAUGCACCGAAGCUGCGGCAGCGACGCUGAUGCGUUGUUGGGUAGGGGAGCGUUCUGUAAGCCUGUGAAGGUGUGCUGUGAGGCAUGCUGGAGGUAUCAGAAGUGCGAAUGCUGACAUAAGUAACGAUAAAGCGGGUGAAAAGCCCGCUCGCCGGAAGACCAAGGGUUCCUGUCCAACGUUAAUCGGGGCAGGGUGAGUCGACCCCUAAGGCGAGGCCGAAAGGCGUAGUCGAUGGGAAACAGGUUAAUAUUCCUGUACUUGGUGUUACUGCGAAGGGGGGACGGAGAAGGCUAUGUUGGCCGGGCGACGGUUGUCCCGGUUUAAGCGUGUAGGCUGGUUUUCCAGGCAAAUCCGGAGAAUCAAGGCUGAGGCGUGAUGACGAGGCACUACGGUGCUGAAGCAACAAAUGCCCUGCUUCCAGGAAAAGCCUCUAAGCAUCAGGUAGCAUCAAAUCGUACCCCAAACCGACACAGGUGGUCAGGUAGAGAAUACCAAGGCGCUUGAGAGAACUCGGGUGAAGGAACUAGGCAAAAUGGUGCCGUAACUUCGGGAGAAGGCACGCUGAUGGUAGGUGAAGCGACUUGCUCGUGGAGCUGAAAUCAGUCGAAGAUACCAGCUGGCUGCAACUGUUUAUUAAAAACACAGCACUGUGCAAACACGAAAGUGGACGUAUACGGUGUGACGCCUGCCCGGUGCCGGAAGGUUAAUUGAUGGGGUCAGCGCAAGCGAAGCUCUUGAUCGAAGCCCCGGUAAACGGCGGCCGUAACUAUAACGGUCCUAAGGUAGCGAAAUUCCUUGUCGGGUAAGUUCCGACCUGCACGAAUGGCGUAAUGAUGGCCAGGCUGUCUCCACCCGAGACUCAGUGAAAUUGAACUCGCUGUGAAGAUGCAGUGUACCCGCGGCAAGACGGAAAGACCCCGUGAACCUUUACUAUAGCUUGACACUGAACACUGGUCCUUGAUGUGUAGGAUAGGUGGGAGGCUUUGAAGUGUGGACGCCAGUCUGCAUGGAGCCGUCCUUGAAAUACCACCCUUUAAUGGCUGGUGUUCUAACGUUGGCCCCUUAUCGGGGUUGCGGACAGUGUCUGGUGGGUAGUUUGACUGGGGCGGUCUCCUCCUAAAGAGUAACGGAGGAGCACGAAGGUUGGCUAAUCCUGGUCGGACAUCAGGAGGUUAGUGCAAUGGCAUAAGCCAGCUUGACUGCGAGCGUGACGGCGCGAGCAGGUGCGAAAGCAGGUCAUAGUGAUCCGGUGGUUCUGAAUGGAAGGGCCAUCGCUCAACGGAUAAAAGGUACUCCGGGGAUAACAGGCUGAUACCGCCCAAGAGUUCAUAUCGACGGCGGUGUUUGGCACCUCGAUGUCGGCUCAUCACAUCCUGGGGCUGAAGUAGGUCCCAAGGGUAUGGCUGUUCGCCAUUUAAAGUGGUACGCGAGCUGGGUUUAGAACGUCGUGAGACAGUUCGGUCCCUAUCUGCCGUGGGCGCUGGAGAACUGAGGGGGGCUGCUCCUAGUACGAGAGGACCGGAGUGGACGCAUCACUGGUGUUCGGGUUGUCAUGCCAAUGGCACUGCCCGGUAGCUAAAUGCGGAAGAGAUAAGUGCUGAAAGCAUCUAAGCACGAAACUUGCCCCGAGAUGAGUUCUCCCUGAGACUUAGAGUCUCCUGAAGGAACGUUGAAGACGACGACGUUGAUAGGCCGGGUGUGUAAGCGCAGCGAUGCGUUGAGCUAACCGGUACUAAUGAACCGUGAGGCUUAACCUU